rnacentral:rRNA from 1 species
UCUACGGGUGGCAGCAGUGGGGAAUAUUGCACAAUGGGGGAAACCCUGAUGCAGCGACGCCGCGUGAGUGAAGAAGCAUCUCGGUAUGUAAAGCUCUAUCAGCAGGGAAGAAAAAGACGGUAACUGAAUAAGAAGCCCCGGCUAACUACGUGCCAGCAGCCGCGGUAAGACGUAGGGGGGAAGCGUUAACCGGAUUUACUGGGUGUAAAGGGAGCGUAGAAGGCGCUGGAAGGCCGGAGUGAAAGCCCACGGCUUAACCCUGGUACUGCUCUGGAAACUGUGGAGCUUGAGUGCGGGAGGGGCAGGCGGAAUUCCUAGUGUAGCGGUGAAAUGCGUAGAUAUUAGGAGGAACACCGGCGGCGAAGGCGGCCUGCUGGACCGUAACUGACGUUGAGGCUCGAAAGCGUGGGGAGCAAACAGGAUUAGAUACCCCUGUAGUC